GACUCGAAAGGUGAACGAAUCUUUUCUGUUUCCGGCUCAGACUGCGUUGCUAUACGGGGCUGUCACGUGAUGAACAAAAUGACUCGAACCGAAGGCGUGGGAGAUGAAUCAUUCUGUUGGGUAUACAGGAGACGGCACGGCAUAGCUUAGUUUAGGAUGUUACGUGACAAAAGAACGAACGAAUUCGACCCAAAACAUCCGGAGGUGAGGUGAUGAAGUAACAGACUGCAUAGCCUCAAGACACCGUGCUUUGGAUGAUGAGGGUUAUUACCAGUGAAGUGAUGAAGAUGAUGGUAACAGCAGGUGCCACGUGGUCUGACCUCAGCACUCUAAUGCUGGUGACCGAGGGAACAGAAGUCCUUGAAGACCUGGACGUACCCAGAGCCUGCACCUUGUUCACGGGGCUGAUGGACACACUCCACCUCAGCUACAACAAGCAGAUAUUUCUUCAGCUGGAUCUGGAAGCGAGCCUAAAGAAAUGUUCCUGAUAUCCACUAUGACAUGACCAUGUGAUGUUUGGGACACUGUGAUGCCACUAAUAUAUCUGACUGAGAGCAGAACAUUUUCACACACUUUCAGUCUGGUACCUGAGGUGCUGUUUUUUAAUACAAAACACACCACAUACACACACACACACACACACACAAACAAGCCCCACAAAACCUCUUACACACACACAAACUAACACACAGAAACUCACACAAUGUCAUGAAUAUUCAGUCAGCAGUUGAAGACCUCUUGGGCUUUAAAUCAGUUACAGAGGGAACAUCAGCUAUCUAGAUUAGGAGGUUUGUUUAAAAUAAAUGCUUUUUGGGUUUUUUCCACUCCACUGGCUCUAGGGAACAGAAGCUGCUUUCCUUGUUGCCUGAAGAAUAAUGUACAUUUAUAUGGUUUGUCUGGUUAGUAAACACAAUAUUCUUUUUAAUAAAGAAACAAAUAAAUGCAAAAGAUAACUGACCAAACAUAAAUGUUUAUUUCCAUAAAACAGUAGUAUAUUUGUUCAUAUAGAGAACAUGUACAGCUAUAUUUUAUUCACAGCAAAAUAAAUCUCAACAGAACAUGACAACAAUUAAUAAUAAAAUCACGAUGGAACUGUGAAUGCAGAAUCUACCAUUUAAUAAUAUUGUUAGAUUCUCACUUCAAAUUCAUUUUAUUGUAACAUCAUCGGCUUGUACGUUAGACAUAAAUAUGAAUUGAAACUCGUACAUUUUAGAGGUGAUGAUGGUGAGGAAAAACGCCCUGAGAUGAUCUGAGGAAGAAACCUGGAGAGGAACCAGACUGAAAACUGAACCCAUCCUCAUCUGGGAGACUCUGGAUAUCAGAGCAUACUGAGCAUGCUCCUCUUAAGCAGAGGUGGACAAAGUACACAACUUCCUUACUUGAGUGAAAGUACAAAUACUACUGGUCAAACAUUACUCCAUUACAAGUAAAAGUUGUAAAGACAGAUUUUUACUUAAGUAAAAGUACAGAAGUACUUGUUUUUAAAAGUACUUAAGUAUCAAAAGUAAAUGUCAACGCAUUGUUUAAUUAUUGUUGCAUUGUUGUAUGCAAUACUUACAGUACCUUUUGUAGCAACCUAGCAACCUUAUUUCUUGAAAUUGUGAUGAUUAUGGCUUACAGAUAAGGAAAACUCAAAAUUCUAUG